UACGGAGGGUGCGAGCGUUAAUCGGAAUUACUGGGCGUAAAGCGCGCGUAGGCGGUUUGUUUAGUCGGAUGUGAAAGCCCUGGGCUUAACCUGGGAAUUGCAUUCGAUACUGUCUGACUAGAGUUUAGUAGAGGAAGGUAGAAUUCCAGGUGUAGCUGUGAAAUGCGUAGAUAUCUGGAGGAAUACCAGUGGCGAAGGCGGCCUUCUUGACUAAAACUGACACUGAGGUGCGAAAGCGUGGGUAGCAAACAGG
rnacentral:rRNA from 1 species